rnacentral:rRNA from 1 species
UACGUAGGGGGCAAGCGUUGUUCGGAUUUACUGGGCGUAAAGGGCGCGUAGGCGGCCUGAUAAGUAGGGGGUGAAAUCCUGCGGCUUAACCGCAGGGCUGCCUUCUAAACUGUCAGGCUGGAGCACAGUAGAGGCAGGUGGAAUUCCCGGUGUAGCGGUGAAAUGCGCAGAUAUCAGGAGGAACACCGGUGGCGAAGGCGGGUCUCUGGGCAGUAACUGACGCUGAGGAACGAAAGCGUGGGUAGCAAACAGG